AUGGAUCAACUACACAACUUACUGUACAUAGUGAGAUACAUACCACUGAUUCUCACUGUAGCAACAGGCAGUUUUGCAAAUAAAAUCUGGCCAACGGACAAAAAUGCCAUCCUUGUCGGGAAAGAAACAGACACCGUUACUCUGAAAUGUUCAUAUGAGUCAAGCAGCAGUGUUUGGCUUUAUUGGUACAAACAACAUCCCAACAGUGCACCGCAGUUUUUAGUGUAUGUAGGUGGCAAUCCCACUGACACUCGAUUUCAGGCAACAUCAUCCAGUGACUCUACUGAACUUACUAUCAGAGGUCUAAAGCUCUCAGAUUCUGCACUUUAUCACUGUGCUCUUAGUAGAGUAGCACAGACGUGCAAGCGCGGACGAGAUCGCUGGGUGGUGAGAGUCACACUUACAGAGGACGCCGGCCCGGGAAAACCCCCGCCCCGUCUCGGGAGUCCCGCCCCCGCCACGAAUUACAGGAAGAUUUCAGAAUAUUUUCAUUUGGCAAAACCAUUCAUCAUGUUCACUGUAAUAUUUAUGUGUCUGUGGCUUUUAUCAGGUGACUCCAUGGCAGACCCAGUAGAGCCACAUCUCACUAGUAAAGUUGUAGAUGAAGGUGAUAAUGUUACUCUCUCCUGCAGCUACAAAAACAGUGCUUCAGUCCAGACUACCUGUACUGGUACAAACAAUAUCCAAAAUCCAAACCCGAAUACCUUCUUUUCCUUACUCCAAGUGGAUUUAAAAGUGACUCCAUCCCACAUCUGUCUGCUGAAGUUGAUGAUAAUAUUAAACGAGUGGAUCUGCUCAUCUCCUCUGCUGCUGUAUCAGACUCUGCACUAUACUACUGUGCUCUGCAG